rnacentral:rRNA from 1 species
GACGAACGCUGGCGGCGUGCUUAACACAUGCAAGUCGAACGGAGUGGCGAACGGGUGAGUAACACGUGGGUGAUCUGCCUUGCACUUCGGGAUAAGCUUGGGAAACUUGGUCUAAUACCGGAUAGUGCAGGAUGAGCUCGCGGCCUAUCAGCUUGUUGGUGGGGUAAUGGCCUACCAAGGCGUCGACGGGUAGCCGGCCUGAGAGGGUGUACGGGGACAAUGUGACUGAGGUAGGGACCAGACGCCUACAGUGGGCAGUAGUGGGGAAUAUUACACAAUGGGCGGAAGCCUAAUGCGGAGACGCGGAGUGGGGGAUGAAGGCCUUAUGGUUGGAAACUCCUUUCGACAGGGACGCGGUACCUGGAUAAGAAGCACCGGCUAACUCCGUGCCAGCAGCCGCGGUAAUAC